CAGCACUAAAUGCUACGGCAGCUGCAAUAGUGAUGAGGAUAGUGAGAAAUGAAGUAGAUACUGGUCGAACAGUGGUAUGCAACCAUUCAUUAGCCAAGCAUUGACAUAUUUGAUGCUUUUGAUGAGCUGCUACUUCUAAAAUGGGAGGUGAAGAAACAUACGUCGUUCCACUAGGACACCAUUCUUUUCAGCUUAUUAAGUAUUUCGAGGUGAGAAAAUGUAGAUAAGAUAAUUGACAUCAUAAUGCUGGCUAGGUACUAAAACUAAUGGCUCUUUAAUUUUGGCCUCGGGGAAUUGAUGGAGUACCUUAGACAAAAGAAGGUUAUAAUCCUGCGACAUGGAUGUUGGAGAUCACUGCUGCAGCACAAGAAGGGAACUUCUUGGAAUCGACUCUGCAGAACUGUACAAGAACUCAGAGUUGUACAAGAGAAACAAAGCAUUAAUCAAGGAACUAAGUGUGCUAGCCCCAGGGUCAAAAGAUUUAUACUUCCCUACAAAGUAUUCUCAGUCUUUCUUCACACAAUGCAUAACUUACCUCUGGAAACAGCACUGAUCUGUGACCAUACUGGAGAAAUCCUCCAUACACAGCAGUCAUGUUUCUGUUUACAAUCUUUGUUGCUCUGAUGUUUGGAACAAUAUUCUGGCAUCCUGGCUCCAAGGGGUAAAGAGGGAAAAAAUAAAAAAGGUACACUACAAGAACUGCUCCUGAUUUUGAAGACAUUUGUUUCUCUUAGUUUCAGGUCUAAUGUUUUGCUUGCACCAAAUUUCAGUGGGAAGGCAACAAGAUCUUUUCAAUGCCAUAGGUUCUAUGUAUGCUGCUGUUAUGUUUCUUAGUGUGCGAAAUUCUUCAACAGUUCAGCCAAUCAUCUCCAUUGACAGGACAGUUUUCUAUAGGAAAAGAGAAGCUGGGAUGUAUUCAGCUCUACCUUCAUGCUUUUGGGAAGGUAUAGAUUCAUAUUCCUUGAUGGAUUGGCACUGAUUCCUUCAAAAUCUUGGAAACCUUCUGAUGCCUAAAGGACAAACUGUCAUGUCCUGCAGUCGCGGAAGUAUCUUAUAUUAAGAGGUGUCAUUUAGCCAUACACCACUUGAAAGUAAACACUACAUUUGCAAGGCGAACCUUUACACAUAGAUGGGAACUUGUUGUUGAAAAUUUUGUGUACUCCACUGAUGUUCUGUGUGCUCGACUGAUAUCAUGGAAUAAUUGAGCUCCUUUACCUAUUCAUCCGGACAGUCAUAGUAGGAUAUGAGUGGACUGUUACCAAGUUCUUUUGCUAUCUCUUCUUCAUGUACUUCACCUUGCUAUAUUUUACGUUUUCUGGGAAGUAAGCAUAUGACAGAAGUUUCCUUUUUUCUUUUCACCAUUUUUCCCUGAUCAAUUUAAUAAUGGAAAACUUUAUCUCAUAUGCAUU